rnacentral:rRNA from 1 species
GACAGAGGGUGCGAGCGUUGUUCGGAAUUACUGGGCGUAAAGGGCGCGUAGGCGGUUGAGAAAGUUGGAUGUGAAAUCCCUCGUUUCAAGCGAGGAACUGCAUCCAAAACUACUCGGCUCGAGUCCCGGAGAGGAAAGUGGAAUUCCCGGUGUAGAGGUGAAAUUCGUAGAGAUCGGGAGGAACACCAGAGGCGAAAGCGGCUUUCUGGACGGUGACUGACGCUGAGGCGCGAAAGCGUGGGGAG